GACGAACGCUGGCGGCGUGCCUGAUACAUGCAAGUCGAGCGAAUCUUUAGGAGCUUGCUCCUGAAGAUUAGCGGCGGACGGGUAAGUAACACGUGGGCAACCUGCCUGUAAGACUGGGAUAACUUCGGGAAACCGGAGCUAAUACCGGAUAAUCCUUUCCUUCACAUGAAGGAAAGCUGAAAGACGGUUUCGGCUGUCACUUACAGAUGGGCCCGCGGCGCAUUAGCUAGUUGGUGAGGUAACGGCUCACCAAGGCGACGAUGCGUAGCCGACCUGAGAGGGUGAUCGGCCACACUGGGACUGAGACACGGCCCAGACUCAUACGGGAGGCAGCAGUAGGGAAUCUUCCGCAAUGGACGAAAGUCUGACGGAGCAACGCCGCGUGAGCGAAGAAGGCCUUCGGGUCGUAAAGCUCUGUUGUCAGGGAAGAACAAGUACCGGAGUAACUGCCGGUACCUUGACGGUACCUGACCAGAAAGCCACGGUUAACUACGUGCCAGCCGCCGCAGUAACAC
rnacentral:rRNA from 1 species